UACCAGCACCCCGAGUGGUCGGGACGUUUUAUUGGGCCUAAAGCAUCCGUAGCCGGUUCUACAAGUCUUCCGUUAAAUCCAACUGCUUAACAGGUGGGCUGCGGAAGAUACUAUAGAGCUAGGAGGCGGGAGAGGCAAGCGGUACUCGAUGGGUAGGGGUAAAAUCCGUUGAUCCAUUGAAGACCACCAGUGGCGAAGGCGGCUUGCCAGAACGCGCUCGACGGUGAGGGAUGAAAGCUGGGG
rnacentral:rRNA from 1 species